UACAGAGGGGGCUAGCGUUAUUCGGAAUUAUUGGGCGUAAAGGGCGCGUAGGCGGCCAUGCGUGUCUUCCGUGAAAUCCCUCGGCUUAACUGAGGACGUGCGGAAGAAACUGCAAGGCUCGAGUCCGGGAGAGGGGGGUGGAAUUCCCAGUGUAGCGGUGAAAUGCGUAGAUAUUGGGAGGAACACCGGUGGCGAAGGCGGCAUCCUGGACCGGCAUUGACGCUGAAGCGCGAAAGCUAGGGGAGCAAACGGG
rnacentral:rRNA from 1 species